UACGAAGGGGGCAAGCGUUGUUCGGAAUUACUGGGCGUAAAGGGCGCGUAGGCGGCUUACCAAGUCAGGCGUGAAAUUCCCGGGCUCAACCUGGGGGCUGCGCUUGAUACUGGUGAGCUUGAAUGCGGGAGAGGAUAGUGGAAUUCCCAGUGUAGAGGUGAAAUUCGUAGAUAUUGGGAAGAACACCGGUGGCGAAGGCGGCUAUCUGGCCCGUAAUUGACGCUGAGGCGCGAAAGCGUGGGGAGCGAACAGG
rnacentral:rRNA from 1 species